rnacentral:rRNA from 1 species
CCGCACGCGCUACACUGACAGAGCCAGCGAGUUCUCUCCUCCAGCGGAAGGUGUGGUAAUCUUGUGAAACUCUGUCGUGAUGGGGAUAGAACAUUGUCAAUUAUUGUUCUUCAACGAGGAAUACCUACUAAGCGUGAUUCAUCAGAUCGCGUUGAUUACGU